AACUGGCUUAAGAAGACAUUUGAGGGUAGAUUUUGUUUACUUUUAUUUAAAUACCUAAAGAUACAGAUUAUAAUUGAAACACUCGAGCGAAUUCGAAUACCUAUUAAACCUUGGUCAAAUUUAGUACAUUACGAUACAAAAGUGAAAAAUAGGAAAUUCGAAACGAUAAACUAAAACACGGUCGAAGGGAGUGAUUUAAAUCGACACGAGUUGCGAAUUACCUAUUCGCACGUUUUACAUUACAUAUGGCCGUUUAAAUUUUCGAUAUAGUCACGUAAUGUGCUAAUUAUCGCACUAGUGCGGUAAAGUAUCACCAUAUGUACUGUAAAUUACAUUAUUGUAUCUUCGCUCAGUUGUUAUGAUUUAUUAUGUUCAAACGCUUAUUAUGAUUACAUUUAAAAACUUAAAUACUAAGUGUUACUACGCGAGCCGACACGACUCAUAUUCUGACUUUGAUUAAAAAAAAAACUUGCCAUCAUCAUCAUCAAAAACUUCGCAAGAGAAAUACAUGUUUUUUGCCGGUAUAAUAAAGUUUUUUUUUAAUAAUACAAUGAUAGUGGCAAACAGGAAUACCGCCCGCCCGAUGGUAAGCGGUAACCGUAGCCCAUGGAUGACUGUGACGUCAGCAACAGUGACAUUUGCUGAAUUGUCGCACCUGCCACCGUGGUGAAAUAGGGGCCUGGUCCGCUCGUAUAGCAACACUACAAAUUAUGCAUACAUAUUACGUGGUUUAAAUACGAAAUAAUAUCUUAUAUUACUAGAAUUAUUGUCGAUUAUUGCUUGGAAAUACAUUUUUAAAAACCGACUUAAAAAUUGGUCCCAUUUUGUGACAGAUUUAUAAAACAUGGGAAUGUUUUUUUUAAUUGGUCCCUAAUGUUAGAUU